rnacentral:misc_RNA from 1 species
AGAAGUGACAAGGAUUUUUACAUGGUCGCUUGGCUAAUUGUGGUAGAGAGAGAAUAAAUAUUCGGAUCUUGAGAAAUUCAAUGGAGCUGCUAUGUUGGGUCUACUCAAGAUACUUAGCUCAUAUUUGUAAAAAAACAGGCUAUUAAAUUGUUGGCUGUUUUGUUGGGAAAAUACGAGCCCUUAAGCAUACCAAAGUUAGCAGCUAAAGACAAUGGAACAGCCUUGAGCAUACCUUGUCACCACUAAAUUUCCGCCCCCAUUUUCAGCGACACAGAUCCUCUGAGAAUGGACUCCGACCUCGCUCUCGCUCUAUCAAUACAGAAUGAUUUUGAUAGGGAAUGGAGAGAAUUGUCGCUAGUGCCGUCUGGAGCAGGAGAAGAUCUUCCUUGUACGGACGAAGAACCCAUCAUCGGAUCCGAGCUUGAAGAUUUAGAUCCUACUCCGGACUUGCACCAACUCUUUAUUAAAUUUGAUAAUCGUUUUUUUUGGGGGUACCUGAAGGCCUGUGAAGUGAAAUGGUCUCCUCGAAUGACUCUUUGUGCGGGGGUUUGCUCUUAUCGGAGACGGGAGGGACUUUGCUCCAUUCGCUUGAGUGUCCCGCUUCUCAAACUUCGGCCUCGCAAGGAUUUAGUUGAAACUCUUUUACACGAAAUGAUUCAUGCCUAUCUCUUUGUUACUGAUCGAAACGAUAAUCAUGAUGGACAUGGCCCUGAAUUCCAUAAACAUAUGUAUCGCAUCAACAAAGAAACUGGAACUAAGAUUUCUGUUUAUCACAGUUUUCACGAUGAGGUUAACUUGUACAAACAGCACUGGUGGAAAUGUGAUGGGCCCUGUGUCAAUAGACGACCCUUUUUUGGCUUAGUAAAGCGGUCUAUGAACAGAGCCCCAGGGCGGUAUGAUAAUUGGUUUGCAGAACAUCAGCGCUCUUGUGGGGGGACUUAUCACAAAAUAAAAGAGCCAGAAGGUUAUGGCUUAAAAAAGAAAAAGGAUGCAAAGUCGAAGACAAAUGCUAAAAAGAUCAUUGAACCUUCUACACAUCAGGAUAUCCGAUCCUUGUUCAGCAAGCAAAUCAAUAAUGAUAAGGGUCCAAGAAAGCCAUUUAGUGGUCAAAAUAUAGUCGGAUUUGGAGGCACAAGCUAUGCCAGCACUUCUACCAAAAGUGACAAAUGGAGCAACAAUGAAGCAUCAUCAUCUAAAACAAGUUCGUUAAAAAAAACAAAUCCUGCUACUUCUUCCACAAAUAGCCAAGAGAGUGAUUUAAACGACUACGAAAUGAACGGGUCCAAGCAGGUAAUUGUCGGAAUAUGUGCCAUGGAGAAAAAAUCUCUCUCCAAACCCAUGAAAGAAAUACUUACUCGAUUAGAAGAAUUUGAAUAUAUCAAAACCCUAACUUUUUCAGAAGAUGUGAUCCUUAAUGGCUCAGUUGAAGAAUGGCCUUUAGUUGAUUGCCUCAUAGCCUUUCACUCAAAAGGCUUCCCUUUGGAAAAGGCCAUAGAGUAUGCAAAACUUAGAAAACCCUACAUUAUCAAUAACUUGGAGAUGCAGUAUGAUAUCCAAGACAGACGAUCCGUUUAUAAGACUAUGGAGAAAGAGGGGAUCGAAAUUCCUCGACAUGCCAUACUAAAUAGAGAUUCAGAUGAUCCAGCUCAGAAUACCAUUGUUGAAUACGAUGAUCAUGUCGAAGUCAAUGGGGUUACUUUUAAUAAACCUUUCGUAGAGAAACCUGUGUCCGCGGAGGAUCACAAUAUCUUCAUGUAUUAUCCAACUUCAGCAGGAGGAGGAAGUCAAAGAUUAUUUCGAAAAAUUGGGAGUCGAAGCAGUGUAUACUCAUCAGAGUCUGGAGUGCGUAAAACAGGAUCCUACAUCUAUGAAGAUUUCAUGGCUACUGAUGGUACCGAUGUCAAAGUAUAUACUGUAGGACCUGACUAUGCACAUGCGGAAGCAAGGAAGUCUCCAGCUCUUGAUGGUAAAGUUGAACGAGACUGUGAAGGAAAAGAAGUUAGAUAUCCUGUCAUUUUAUCAAAUAAGGAAAAAUUAAUUGCACGUAAAGUUUGUUUAGCUUUUAAACAAACUGUCUGCGGAUUUGAUUUGCUCAGGGCGAAUGGUAGAUCCAUUGUCUGCGAUGUAAAUGGUUUUAGCUUUGUAAAAAACUCAUUUAAAUAUUAUGAUGAUUGUGCCAAAAUUUUGGGGAACAUGAUCCUUAGAGAAUUGGCGCCUACACUCCAUAUUCCUUGGAACAUUCCUUUUCAACUUGAUGAUCCUCCAAUUGUCCCGACGACAGUUGGAAAAAUGAUGGAGUUAAGAUGUGUUGUUGGAGUAAUACGCCAUGGAGAUCGAACCCCAAAACAAAAAAUGAAACUUGAAGUUAGACACCCCAAAUUUUUUGAUAUAUUUCGCAGAUAUAGUGAAGGCCAUAAAUUUGCACGAAUUAAGCUUAAAAAGCCACAGCAAUUGCAGGAAAUCCUUGAUAUUGUGAGAGAGCUUCUCGAACAAAUUGAUAGAGGAUCCUCUGAAUCUGAGCUCAUACAGGAGAAACGAAGUAAACUUGAGCAAAUCAAACAUGUACUUGAAAUGUAUGGCCACUUCUCGGGCAUAAAUAGAAAAGUACAGCUCAAGUAUCAGCCAAAGGGUAGACCUCGAAACUCGAGCUCUGAGGAUGAGCUACCCAAAGAACCGUCCUUACUCUUAAUAUUGAAAUGGGGAGGGGAACUGACUCCGAUUGGUCGGGUACAAGCUGAAGAACUAGGAAAAGUCUUUCGAUGCAUGUAUCCAGGAGGACAGGGUAAUAAUGAUUUGUUGAUUGGAGGUCUUCCUCCUAUAAUGGAAGAUACAGAGAAGAUUAGAACAAACACAAUUAAUGGGGAAUAUGCAGGAACACAAGGCUUGGGUCUUCUCCGUCUUCACUCAACAUAUCGUCAUGAUCUGAAGAUCUACGCCUCGGAUGAAGGAAGAGUACAAAUGACGGCAGCUGCAUUUGCCAAGGGUCUUCUUGCACUGGAAGGAGAGUUAACUCCUAUUCUUGUUCAAAUGGUUAAAUCCGCGAAUACAAAUGGUCUUUUAGAUAACGAAUGCGAUAGUUCGAGAAAUAAUGUGAGUGAGAAGAGGAGUAAUGCGAGUAAGAGUAUAAAUAUACAGAGGAAAUUGUUUCAUUUGUUCCAUUAUGAUCGAAGUGCAAAUACUAGGAGAAGAGUAAAGGUCAAGUUGCACGAAAUGAUGCAAAUGUCCCAGGACUUUACACCGGAAGAAGAAGAGAAAUUGAAUCCUUGCUCACAAAUAUCUGUUGCUAAUGCUUUAAAACUUAUUCGUAAUCCAGCUAAAUGCUGUAAUCAUAUUUACAAAUUAAUUCAAAUACUCAAUGCUGAUAUAAAAAUCAAAAGACAGAAAUUGACCGAUGCUGAAUUGUAUCAUGGAGAAACUUGGGAACUCAUGGCUCGACGAUGGAACAAAUUAGAAAAGGACUUUUGGAGUAAAAAUGAACUCUAUGAUAUUUCCAAAGUUCCGGAUAUUUAUGAUUGUAUCAAGUAUGAUAUUCAGCAUAAUCGUGAUAUCCUCCCAUCCCCAGAAGCGGAAGAGCUCUACAUUUAUGCCAAAAAUAUGGCUGAUGUAGUUAUCCCUCAGGAAUAUGGGAUGACAAGAAGUGAAAAGUUAGCCAUUGCACAGGGAAUAUGUGCUCCACUUCUGAGGAAAAUCAGAUCAGAUCUACAAAGAAAUAUUGAAGCAGAUAGUUUUGAAGAGGAAUGUGAUACAGUUAAUCGACUAAAUCCUAGAUAUUCCUCUGGAGUUUCUUCUCCAGGUCGUCAUGUUAGAACUCGACUCUAUUUUACAUCGGAAAGUCAUAUCCACUCUUUACUCACUGUUUUCUCUGAGGGUGGUUUAGUUGAUUCACAAGAUGAGCAAUGGCAGAGAGCUAUGGAAUAUGUUUCUUUAGUAUCCGAGAUGAAUUACAUGACACAGGUUGUUAUUAUGCUAUAUGAGGAUCCAACAAAGGAUCCAUCUUCGGAUCAAAGAUUUCACGUUGAAUUACACUUCUCUCCUGGAGUCAAUUGUUGUAUCAAAAAAGAGCUUCCUCCCGGUCCAGGCUUUAGACCACACUCCAGAAACAAUGAACACGGAAAUGGUGGUGGAAGUAGUUUGGAUAGAAGUCGUGUUCCAUCUCGAGAUGAAUCUACUGAGAAUGCAAGUUCAACCCCUCUUUCCCCCGUAAAAUGCUCAGUCGAUUGUUCGAGUGGUGAUUUGAAUAAAUUUUUUUGUGCCAUUGAGCAAGAUGCAUCAACUGAGGAGGAGGCAUUGUUUGAAGUUAAUUAUUCAUCAAAAGCCACAUCGGAACCCCGUUCCAUUGAAUCAAAUUCUUCUAAUGUUAUGAAUUGUUCUGAUGAAUACUCUAGUUCAUCAUCUGUAUGUAAGAAGAGUGUUGGCAAAAGAUCUAGGAGUUUAGAGAAGAAAGGCUCGAGACCCAGAUCACUUGAUUGUGAAUGUGAUAACAAAACUAAUUCUGCGUCUUCGAGUUAUAAAGGUCUUAAUUUAAAAAAAAAAUUCUCUCACAAGGGAUCAACGACUACAAAAUUGUUUUCCACGGCCGUCAUUUCUGGUUCCUCUUCUGCUCCCAAUCUUAAAGAAAUGUCGCCUGUACCUGGUUCAACUAUAGCUGUAAGCGCCACAAUGCCAACAAUAAGACCUUUGGAAACUCUACAUAAUGCUCUCUCCCUUCGACAACUUGAUGAAUUUCUUGGCUAUAUCACCUCUGCCAAUUUUAAAACCCCUAGCACAUCUCCACCAUUGAGAUCCUCUUUUUCAUCCAAAUCCAAUCUUAAUAGCCGACCUCCACCGCCACCUCUGCGUUUCAUGUCACCUGCCAACAGUCUUUAAGAUAAGAUUUGAAAAAUUUAAAAUUAAGAGAACAAAAAACUAGCAAAAAAAGUGUUCCAAUGAUUUAAUUAAGCAAUGCUUAAGGUUUCACUUCAUUUGUUUCAAGUGCCGAUACAUCUCCUGCUCCAAUAGAUUUCUUUUCUAGGAUUCGAAUUUUGGCUCUACAACAAGAAGAUAAUAACGAUUCUGUAUGAAUAAAUUGAAUCAUUAUCCCUUAUAAUUAUUAUUGCAAUAUUCUUUACGAUAAUCUCCAUUUUUUUAAUAAUCCUUUGUUGUAUUCUAUAUUAUGUCAUCAUUCAUUUUUACAUAUCAUUUUAGAAUAAUUUAUAAAUGAUAGUAGGUAUAUUAAAUUAUUUUAUUUAUAUAUUCAAAUAUUAUAUUGAUAUUAUAUUCAAUUAUAUAUAUAUAUAUUUAUCAUCGUUACGAAUAAAUGGAUAUUAUUAUUGCUCAA